rnacentral:rRNA from 1 species
GUAGGGUCCAAGCGUUAAUCGGAAUUACUGGGCGUAAAGCGUGCGCAGGCGGUUAUGCAAGACCGAUGUGAAAUCCCCGAGCUUAACUUGGGACUUGCAUUUGUGACUGCACGGCUAGGGUGUGUCAGAGGGGGGUAGAAUUCCACGUGUAGCAGCGAAAUGCGUAGAGAUGUGGAGGAGUACCGAUGGCGAAGGCAGCCCCCUGGGAUAACACUGACGCUCAUGCACGAAAGCGUGGGGAGCAAACAGGAUUAGAUACCCUGGUAGUCCACGCCCUAAACGAUGUCAACUAGUUGUUGGGGCAUUAUUUCCUUAGUAACGUAGCUAACGCGUGAAGUUGACCGCCUGGGGAGUACGGUAGCAAGAUUA